AAGAGACGUUGCCCUUCGGGGUAUACCUCCCACCCUUUGUUUAUUAUACCUUUGUUGCUUUGGCGGGCCCGUCCUCGGACCACCGGCUUCUGCUGGUCAGUGCCCGCCAGAGGACCUAAAACUCCGUUUGUUAAUAUUGUCUGAGUACUAUAUAAUAGUUA
rnacentral:misc_RNA from 1 species